CCUACGGGAGGCUGCAGUGGGGAAUAUUGGACAAUGGGGGCAACCCUGAUCCAGCCAUGCCGCGUGUGUGAAGAAGGCCCUCGGGUUGUAAAGCACUUUCAGUGAGGAAGAACGCCUGGUGGUUAAUACCCAUCAGGAAAGACAUCACUCACAGAAGAAGCACCGGCUAACUCCGUGCCAGCAGCCGCGGUAAUACGGAGGGUGCGAGCGUUAAUCGGAAUUACUGGGCGUAAAGCGCGCGUAGGUGGCUUGAUAAGCCGGUUGUGAAAGCCCCGGGCUCAACCUGGGAACGGCAUCCGGAACUGUCAAGCUAGAGUGCAGGAGAGGAAGGUAGAAUUCCCGGUGUAGCGGUGAAAUGCGUAGAGAUCGGGAGGGAUACCAGUGGCGAAGGCGGCCUUCUGGACUGACACUGACACUGAGGUGCGAAAGCGUGGGUAGCAAACAGGAUUAGAUACCCUGGUAGUC
rnacentral:rRNA from 1 species